CAUCAAACAUGUUUCUCCAAGGCCAAAUAGAAGCACUGGAAUGAGGUAAAAGAGCCUGUGUUAGAUAACUCCAAUAUAUGAAAUCCACGGAAUAGCUCAGCAAGAAGAACUUGGAAAGGUUUCUGUAAAAUAUACGGACUAACAGAUGUCUUGAGAAAAGAAAAGAAGUUGAAGAACAUAUCACAAAUUCUAGAUAAACUGAGAAUCACUCAGGAAAAUCAAAGGAAGUUAUGGGAACUGAUAGAGAAAGUCUUGUUACCUGAAGAUGAAGACAGAGUUUCUGAGAAUCCAGAAGAGUAAUGAAGUAAAGGAAGAUAAAUACUCUCCCCUUCAAAAGGACUCUUAACAUCCUGAAGUUGUUCAAGUGGAACCCAGGCAUGAAAAAUGUACUGUUGGACCUUAGAAUGCAAUAUUAAAACACAACUUCAAAACUGGGAACAUGCUUCCAUUUUUGCAUACGUUAUUGUUGAUUGCUAUACUGUCUGCAUAACAAGAUAUUUCCAUAUACUGUUUUAAGGAAACGUCUAGUGCUAAUAAUUGUUUAAUUAACUAGCUGUGUUUUUCUGUGAAGUUUUCACUAGACACUUCCCUCAUUCUGUCAUAAAUUCUCUACUUAGAGGAACUAAUUCUAGAGGAAUACCAGGUAUUAAACUCCCAGGACAAAACUCACAGCUGGAAGUUAUUUAAGUAAACUGAAGUUGCAUCUUCUAAAUAAGACAUGAAUACUAGUCUUGAACCAGGCUUUG